UACGUAGGGGGCUAGCGUUGUCCGGAAUCAUUGGGCGUAAAGAGCGCGUAGGCGGCCAGAUAAGUCCGGUGUGAAAGUCAGAGGCUCAACCCUUGAAUGCCGCUGGAAACUGUCUGGCUAGAGUCCGGAAGGGGCGAGUGGAAUUCCUGGUGUAGCGGUGAAAUGCGCAGAUAUCAGGAGGAACACCAAUGGCGAAGGCAGCUCGCUGGAACGGUACUGACGCUGAGGCGCGAAAGCGUGGGGAGCGAACAGG
rnacentral:rRNA from 1 species